rnacentral:rRNA from 1 species
UAGAGUUUGAUCAUGGCUCAGGAUGAACGCUAGCGACAGGCUUAACACAUGCAAGUCGAGGGGCAGCGGGGAGGUAGCAAUACUUCCGCCGGCGACCGGCGCACGGGUGAGUAACACGUAUGGAACCUGCCCGUAGCAGGGGGAUAAACGGAAGAAAUUCCGUCUAAUACCGCGUAAUAACUCCGAGAGGCAUCUCAUGGAGUUUAAAGGGUAACACCGGCUACGGAUGGCCAUGCGGCGCAUUAGCUAGUUGGCGGGGUAACGGCCCACCAAGGCGACGAUGCGUAGGGGUUCUGAGAGGAAGGUCCCCCACACUGGUACUGAGACACGGACCAGACUCCUACGGGAGGCAGCAGUGAGGAAUAUUGGUCAAUGGGCGCGAGCCUGAACCAGCCAAGUCGCGUGAGGGAAGACGGUCCUAUGGAUUGUAAACCUCUUUUGUCGGGGAGCAAAAGACGCCACGUGUGGCGUUCCGAGAGUACCCGAAGAAAAAGCAUCGGCUAACUCCGUGCCAGCAGCCGCGGUAAUACGGAGGAUGCGAGCGUUAUCCGGAUUUAUUGGGUUUAAAGGGUGCGCAGGCGGAAGAUCAAGUCAGCGGUAAAAUUGAGAGGCUCAACCUCUUCGAGCCGUUGAAACUGGUUUUCUUGAGUGAGCGAGAAGUAUGCGGAAUGCGUGGUGUAGCGGUGAAAUGCAUAGAUAUCACGCAGAACUCCGAUUGCGAAGGCAGCAUACCGGCGCUCAACUGACGCUCAUGCACGAAAGUGUGGGUAUCGAACAGGAUUAGAUACCCUGGUAGUCCACACAGUAAACGAUGAAUACUAAUUGUUCGGGGAGAAUGAUCCCUGAGUGAUACAGCGAAAGCGUUAAGUAUUCCACCUGGGGAGUACGCCGGCAACGGUGAAACUCAAAGGAAUUGACGGGGGCCCGCACAAGCGGAGGAACAUGUGGUUUAAUUCGAUGAUACGCGAGGAACCUUACCCGGGCUCAAACGACACAGGAAUACUUUUGAAAGGAGGUAGCUCUACGGAGUCUGUGUCGAGGUGCUGCAUGGUUGUCGUCAGCUCGUGCCGUGAGGUGUCGGCUUAAGUGCCAUAACGAGCGCAACCCCCAUCGCCAGUUACCAGCAAGUCAAGUUGGGGACUCUGGCGAGACUGCCGGCGCAAGCUGUGAGGAAGGCGGGGAUGACGUCAAAUCAGCACGGCCCUUACGUCCGGGGCGACACACGUGUUACAAUGGCAGGUACAGAGAGAAGCAAUGCGGCGACGCAAAGCGGAACUUGAAAGCCUGUCUCAGUUCGGAUUGGAGUCUGCAACUCGACUCCAUGAAGCUGGAUUCGCUAGUAAUCGCGCAUCAGCCAUGGCGCGGUGAAUACGUUCCCGGGCCUUGUACACACCGCCCGUCAAGCCAUGGAAGCCGGGAGUGCCUGAAGUGUGCAACCGCAAGGAGCGCCCUAAGGUAAAACUGGUGACUGGGGCUAAGUCGUAACAAGGUAACC